rnacentral:lncRNA from 1 species
UGUCCUCUUUGUUUCAAAGUUAAACUAUGAGUAAGUUCCUCUCAAAGUUAGUUUGGCCUACACCCAAGAAUGAACAAGGACAGGUUAGACUCUAAUCUAGAAAUCUAGAAGCAAGAUGGAGUUGGUUAGGGCAGAUUUUUUUUUUUUUUUGAGACAUAGUUUCGCUCUGUCAUCCAGGCUGGAGUGCAGCGGCGCGAACUCUGGCUCACUGCAAGCCCCGCCUCCCAGGUUCGCGCCAUUUUCCUGCCUCAGCCUCCUGAGUAGCUGGGUCUACAGGCGCCCGCCAUCACGCCCGGCUAAUUUUUUGUGCUUUUAAUAGAGAUGGGGUUUCACCGUGUUAGCCAGGAUGGUCUUGAUCUCCUGACCUCAUGAUCCGCCCUCCUCGGCCUCCCAAAGUGCUGGGAUUACAGGUGUGAGUCACCGCGCUCGGCCAGGGCAAAUCUCUUUAACUAUUAUAAUUUUCUCAGUUAUAAUCUUGCCAUGGUGGUUUCAAAAGGUGACUGGAAGAAAGCGGAAGGAAUGCUUGCCUCAUCUUGCAGACAUCAGGUGCAUUCCUGAGAAGCUACAGGUGCACAACCUUAGUCAGGCUCUGGGGAUACAGAAGUAACAAGAAGACCAGACCCUUGUUCCAAUGGAGGAGACAUCCUGGGACAUUGUCUAAAAACCAACCUGCUCCAAAUCUUAUCUCAGGCUCUGCUUUCAAAAGAACUCAAACCAGAUACAAGAUGAAUAAUGAAAUCUACUUGGUUUCAAUGAGGGUUACACAGAAGACAUCUGCUCAGUCUUCUACAUAAUAGCUCUUCAGAGACUUGAAGGGAAUUGUCAUGAGUCCUGAGACAUCUCUUCUCCAAGAUAAAAAGCCCUCAUCUUCAGUGAACACACGCUCAAGAUUCAUUUCAAAUGCCACCACCUCUUGAAAGCCUCCCUUGCUCUCUCUGGAAAGAGCUAAGCAUACCUUCUUCAGAGCUCUUCUGCUGUCUCAGCCAGCCCUUCCUUGCAUCUUUUAUCCCAAUACACUGUCAUUACAUGUUUAUAUUCAUUUGCUUGCCCAACUAGCCUGUUAUCUUCAGGGGUCCUGGCAGAUUUAUCUUUGUUUUCUGUUGGUGCAUACUUAUGGCUGAAAAAGCAGCUUGGGGUCCCUCAAAAAUAUAAACAUAGAAUUGCCAUAUAAUCUAGUAAUUCUACCUCUGGGUAUACUCACAAAAGAAUUCAAAGAAGGGUCUUGAAGAUAUAUUCGUACACCUGUGUUUAUAGCAGUAUUAUUCAUGAUAGCCAAAAAGUGGAAGCAAACCAACCUCUGUCCUUUAGAAGAUGAACAGAUAAACAAAAUGUGGCAUAUGCAUACGAUAAAAUAUUAUUUGGCUGGGUGUGGUGGCUCACUCCUGUAAUCCCAGCACUUUGGGAGGCCAAGGUGGGUGGAUCACUGGAGGUCAGGAGUUUGAGACCAGCCUGGCCAACAUGGUGAAGCCCUAUCACUACUAAAAAUACAAAAAUUAGCCGGGCAUGGUGGCACGUGCCUAUAUAUAUAUAUAUAUAUAUAUAUAUAUAUAUAUAUAUAUAUAAAAUACUUGGCAAUGGAAAUUAGUUCCUCUAAGCCUCAGUUUUUACUUCUUUAAAAUGGGCAUAGUCUAUGUGACCAUAGACUUGAUUUAAAAAUCCAUGAGAUAGUCAAAAGCUCUUACCAGGAUGUACAGUAAAACAAUUUGCUUACACAUGCUACAAGAUGUAUGAACCUUGAAGACAUUAUGCUAAGUGAACUAUGCCAGUCACAAAAAGACAAAUACUGUAUAAUCUCACUUAUAUAAAGUAUCUAGCAUAGUCAAAUUCACAAAGAAAGUAGCAUGGUGGUUACCAAGCGCUGGGAGAAGAGAGGAGUGGGGAGUUAGUGUUUAAUGGGACAGAGUUUCCGUUUUGCAAGAUGUAAAGAGUUCUGGAGAUGGAUGGUGGUGAUGGCUGUACAACAAUACAAAUGUGCUUAAUAUCACUAAACUGUACAUUGAAAAUGAUUAAGGUAGUAACUUUUAUAUGUAUUUCACCACAAUAAACGUAAUAAAAAAUAAAAUAAUUGCUGCUGAAUAAUUGAAUGAAUGAGUUUAUGUUUUAACUGAAAAAAGUAAUACCUGUUCAUCUUUGCAGAUGCUUUGCUCAGUGGAAGAAGAUAAUUUGAUGAAGGCAAGGCCAUUUCUGGUACUCCUAAAUCACACCAUUUUAAAAGCUACUUAUGUGGCAUCCACCCAGAACCUGUUUUAGUGAGAACAAAGGUGCCUUCAGCAGUUCUAAGAGGUCUGUCUAAACCCUAGUUUCUUUUGUUCAUAUUUUCUUUUUGAAAACUAAGCUCUAUCGAUUGGCCCAACAAUACUGCAGGCUUGGAGGGAGAUGCAGCCAACUUUACUACUGCAGUUAGUAGGAGACACUUCCAGUGGAAUACAACUUUCCAGUGAGACGAUGACCCCAUCUGUGUACUGUUACAUUUAUAGGGGAUAAUCUUCUACAAGAGAUCCAGAUUUCAAUCUCAAUUGCCAAUAAGUCUGUAUGUCCUUAGGUAAUCCCUGUCCCUUCUCAUCGAAUAUCAGCUUCACCAUCCGGAAACAAAGGAGCAGAUUUUGAU